AACCACCAUAACCUUCCCAACUUGCCAAUUACAUCUCUCAUUUCCUCUGCUGCUGCUCUGCAUUCACCACCGGAUUUAUCAUCACUCAGGUUCGUCCUCUCAGCUUUCUCUUUGUGUCUAUACAUCUAGACAUAUUUACAGAUACAAUCAUACAAAGCUUAUGUAUUCGCCAUUAAUUGCGAAUUCUCUCUGUAACCCUACGCUAAAUUCCUCGAAAUUCGCAACCCUAAACCCUUCUCCGAUCCCAAUUCCCAAACCCAGAUUCUCGAUUCCCCAACCCUUAUUGAAAAUUUUAAAUUUUACAGCUUCAGUGUUACUGUAGUUUAGCCCUAG
rnacentral:lncRNA from 1 species